AAUUCAUUUGCGGCAGCUGUGAAAAUGAAAUGGUUCAGACGGAUGUAAAGGACGAGAAAUACCCCUUUUAUGUCCAUCAGAUGAAGCAAAUAUGGGUGCAUAAGAAUGUCUGAGCUUUCUUCCUGCGGGAAGAAAGCUUUUUUUUU
rnacentral:sRNA from 1 species